UUUAAUAUUCCACACCUUUUCUCUCCUGCUCGGGUAUAUGGGAGUUCCUGGAGAAAUCCCUAAAAAUAUCCUGAGGAAUAUAUGGAAGAAACUCUGCAGAAAUCCAACGAAAAGGAGCUCCUGGAAUAAUCCGUGGAGAAACUCCAACAGUACUUUUGGGACUUCCUCCCUAAGGGACUUUUUAUGCUCCACCAACAGAAAAUUCUGGAGGAAACUAGAAAAAUCCUUGGAGAAAUCUUUCCAAGAAUCGCAAGAAUAAUUCUUAAGCAAUUUUGUAAUUGUAAUUGUAAUUGCUCAGUCCACACCCAGGCCGACAACUGUCAGCCCAUCUGCUUGUGGGCAGAUGUGGACCUACUAAGCCUCCCCCGUUAACAUGUCCUACACCGAAUUAGCACACCGGGAUCUUCCACAGGCAGGCGCUGGCGUUACCAGUCCCAACAAGUGUCAGAUACAUUAAAUAGAUGGGGUAGAGGAUAUAGGAAGAUGUGGGAAUAAGAUGGGAAGAGGCAGAAAAUGAAGAGAUAGUAGAGAGGUUUCGAUUUUGUUGCUGAAACGAGAAAAAGAAAGAAUGAUAAAGAACAUUAGCGAUAUGUUCAUAGAUUUUGAUUUGGUCGAUAAUUUCUCAUCUAUUUUGUUUCCAUAUCGUUGCAUCGGUGAUCAUUUUCAUCGCCUUUCUAGUUUUGUUAGAGCCAUCUCGCGUUUUUCCGUCAUGUCCUCUUUGCCGGUUGGCGACGUUCGGGAUGUAAGUAGAAAAGCAUGCAUUUAAUAUGAUUAGUACGACAGUAAUUGUGAUUGCUCAGUACUUCCAGCCCAUUUGUCCGCAGUACAUAUCAGGCAUCCCGUUUUAACAAGUCCUACACAGAAUUAGAAACCCGGAUCUUCCACAGACAGUCCUAACUAGUGUCAGAUAAGUUCAAUUGAGGAUAGAAAGCGGCAAAAUGAGAAGACAGUAGAGAAGGUUUGGUUCAUUGGUAGCUGUGUUCAUGUGUUGUCUGUCUGACAUUGAAAAACUAUUUUCCGUAAGUGUUUAACUCGCCACCCCAAAUUUAAUACCGGAAAAAUAUCUGAUCAGAUGUAUAGUUUGGCAAUUCUAUGUCCACAUUGAAAUGCUUUUGUUAAUACAUUGUUUAUCAAGAAGGAAUAAUGUUGUUUACUGUUAUAAAAUAAUUCAGUUAAAGGGCAGCUAAUGUAUUGUAGUCAAGAAUAAACCUACAGAAAAUGUCUCAAUAAAAAAGUUAACUCUAGUUCAACUAACUACACAAACUGAAAAGUGUUAUUAUAUUUUACCAAUGAUUUCAUCCUAAUCUUGACCCUAACAUAGUUAUGCGCUUAGUGUAAGUGGACGCCGCUUAUGAUUUGGUUGGACAAUGACCAAAAAUAAUGUUGUUUCGACAAUAGUCACAUACUAUGCCCUACGACAUUGACGAUUCUAUUGUCUAUGGCUCAUCUAUUUCGCGCCACCCAGCAGGGACUUGGUCUGAUACCCAAUUCAGCAUCUCCAUUCCACGUAAUGUACCGCACCUCUUUUGAUUUGUGAUAUAUCACGCGGAAUAUUGUUCUCUUCAUUCGGAUAGCGACUGUGUAACCCCCUUGGAUUGAAAGCCUCCAUCAAACAUGAAGCGACUAAUCGGAUACUGAAGACUCUAUACCAGAUUUGGCUCAGAGACAGGUAAUCAGUGAAGUCAGUUUUUUCUCGUUUGUCAGAGACGAUUGAUACGUAUUAAGACAAACUUUCCACUGCAUCUGCCAGCAGUAAUCGGUGGUCAAUCAACAUUCCGAGUCCCCUAAUUUCACAAGGAUGCUAAGGAUCACCGCUCAUGCUUUACAAUACAGCUGGAAAAACUAGAACAACACCUGGCCACAAUGAUGCAUAAAGCACUAAAGCGGACCGGAAGAUUCGAUGAGCCAGCCCCCACCAAAUAAUUCUUAAGCAAUUUAUAGAGAAAACCCUGGUGGUAUUGUAGGUUAAGAAAGGUAAGGAAGAAUCUGCAGUAGUAAUUCCUAAAGAAAUCCCAAGUGGACUGAAGGAUUCCAUACGGAAUUCUUGGAGGAAUAAUAAUUGAUACCAAGAGGAAUUCAUCAUCUUAUUUGAAUGCUUCCAACUGCUGGAUGUUUGUGUCGGGAAUUCAUCAUUAAAAAAAUCUCUGGAGGAUUUUUCUAUGGAAAUUAUAGAGGAAUCCCAGCAGUAAUAUCCGAAGGAAUCUCCACAGGCAUUGUUUGGGAAAUUCCUGGAUUGACGUCUGUUACCAUAAACUAUAUUUUGAAAACAGUCGCAUAGUUAGCAUUUCAAUGGUUUGGCCCUUUCCAAAUAUAACGGGAGAUUUGUUUGUUACGUAAUUUGUACAUGAUUCCAAAAUAUAACUGAUAUUAAGAUUGAUUGUAAAACGGUAUGCCGAAUGCAAAACACUUUUUCUUGUUAAAAAAAGCUAACACAAUCGGUUCAGAAAAUCGAUAAUAUCUGGGGAAAACGCAAUCGAAGCCUCCCAAAAUCGGGUCAGCACAGUAUUAUAAUAUCAAACGAUUUUGAAUUUCUGCAUUACAGAUCAAAAAAAAUCUCAAUAAAAAAUACUCCGGAUAAUCGAGUCUAAAAUUCCGGAUAAUCGAACCCCGGAUAAUCGAGUCUCCGGAUAAUCGAGUACGUCGCCUCUAUCUGUUAAUGUUACUGUAUGACGAUCAGGUGCUUUUCUGUUGAACACUAUGAUCGAAUGCCUAAGGAUCAUAAAGAAUGGUCUACUUAUCCCAUACCAAGUUGUAACAGUAUUUCAUAAUGUGCACAAAUUGUCAAAUAUUAUAGCGAUGAAAACUCGUAAGACAUGGUGGCAAUGUGUAAUAGCCAUUUCUCAAAUGGUUUAUGAUUAUAUUUCAACAAUUCACUUACACAUGUGUAUUGAACUGUAUGGCACUUAAAUUGAACAGUUUGCUGAACAGUCGCAAAUAUUGGUAUUUGUGACGACCGAAUUUUGCAGUCUGCUCAGUUUUGUAGAGAAAAAAAAUCUUUCGUGUGGCCAUCGCAAGCGGAGUGAAAAACAAAAUGCCAAUUUAUUGCGUAAACUGUUUGAAGCAGCUGGAGCCGGUUAGAUUGAACAGGGAAAUCGCGUACUUUUCAACAGCAUCAGCCACAUUCCGCCUAACUGCGUCUGCGAGGAAUUCUGUCCUACUCCUAUUCUAGGCAAAUAUGUAUAUUCUGGAAAAUCCGUCCCCAUCGGAGGGAGGCCCACCAUCGUAGGCGCUA